rnacentral:rRNA from 1 species
CGCCAGACUCCUACGGGAGGCAGCAGUGAGGGAUAUUGGUCAAUGGGGGAAACCCUGAUGCAGCGACGCCGCGUGAGUGAAGAAGUAAUUCGUUAUGUAAAGCUCUAUCAGCAGGGAAGAAAAUGACGGUACCUGAAGAAGAAGCCCCGGCUAACUACGUGCCAGCAGCCGCGGUAAUACGUAGGGGGCAAGCGUUAUCCGGAUUUACUGGGUGUAAAGGGGGCGCAGACGGCGAUGCAAGCCAGGAGUGAAAGCCCGGGGCCCAACCCCGGGACUGCAUUGGGAACUACCGGGCUGGAGUGCCGGAGAGGGAGGCGGAAUUCCUAGUGUAGCGGUGAAAUGCGUAGAUAUUAGGAGGAACACCAGUGGCGAAGGCGGCCUACUGGACGGUGACUGACGCUGAGGCUCGAAAGCGUGGGGAGCAAACAGGAUUAGAUACCCGCGUAUAU